rnacentral:lncRNA from 1 species
AACUCUGUCUGAUCAGGGUGAUACCCUAGCCAGGGCACAAGGAGACCAGAAAGGUAAUUUGGUUGUGGUACCUACGGACAGUUUAAGAACUUGUAGCAAAAAGGAAAAAAUUCCUAAGCUUGUGUGUGGCAAAGAGAAGGGAAAUAUUUCUAACCUUUUAUCUAGGAAGUCUAUGGGUUUGCCUGAAAGGGGAUUGUGUAGAGAUCUGCCUGAUGGGCCAAAGGUGAUCCUGAAUGCAAGUAAGACCCAGACAGAAUCUGUUGUUGCUCAGGAAAGUGUUCCUUUAGAGCAAGCCCUGGGUGAAGAGGGUAAGGGCAGAAUUUCUGUGAGGGGUGAAUUGCUGCUUAGAAAAGCUCCUGGAGAAAGGAAUCCUCAUGGUAAUCGGUGCAAGCAGUUCCCUGCAACUGAAGGGUGUGAGAGUGAUUUAAUCAAGGAAGUUUCAGUUCCUAGCAGCCAAAAAUUGUCUGUUGUGAAUGGAUCCACUGACUUUCCUUGUAAAAGAUCCAGUGUGGGUAGCUUUGAGAAGGUCUCAGGGGAAGUAAAAGUUGUUAAGGAAUUGAGGCAGCCCUAUAACCAAGUGGCUGUGUGGGGCCAACUUGUUGGGGAGACAAUGGUGUUGGAACAGGAAUGUCUCCUUUCUGAUUCUUUAAAUGAGCAGUUUGUGCUUCAGGGUUUGAGGACAGAUUUGGUUACUGAUGUGUCAGAGCAGAGCAGUUUUAUGGCUAAAUGCUUGAGGAUGCGGGGGAGAGCAAGCAAACUCUCACCCACAGACUCUUUGGAUUUGUGUGGUAUAUCUUUAAGACAGAGUCCAGCCUUGGAAAUGAUAGCAGUUAUGAAUAUGAAAACUGGUGGACUGGCUCUGGUCUGGGGUAGUGCAAAUUACUUGCCUGGCUGGGAAAGGGAGGACUUGCUAAUAGCUGUUAGCACAGAGGGCCCACCCCAUCAGCCAGUGAAUUCUGUUAAGCAAGAGAAAUCAGGGUUUGAUCCUGCAGGACAAGGAGGAAAGAGAAAACUGAAUUUUGCAAAGGGAAGCCACAGGUUAACCCUAAAAUGCCCAAACUCCAAUGAUAUUGAGCCAAAGAUGUGGCAUGACAAACAUGA